rnacentral:rRNA from 1 species
GAUGAACGCUGACAGAAUGCUUAACACAUGCCAGUCUUUGGCGAAGCUGUGCUUGCACAGCCUAGCCAAGGCGGACGGGUGAGUAACGCGUAAGGAACUUGCCCUGCAGUCAGGGAUAACAGACGGAAACGACUGAUAAGACCUGGUAAAGUCAGGCGGACUCAUGUCCAGCCUGAUGAAAAGAGAUGCUGCAGGAGAGCCUUGCGUCCUAUUAGCUUGUUGGUGGGGUAACGGCCCACCAAGGCGAUGAUAGGUAGCCGGCCUGAGAGGGUGGACGGCCACAAGGGGACUGAGAUACGGCCCUUACUCCUACGGGAGGCGGCAGUGGGGAAUAUUGGACAAUGGGGGCAACCCUGAUCCAGCAAUUCUGUGUGCACGAUGAAGGUUUUCGGAGUGUAAAGUGCUUUCAGCAGGGAAGAAAAAAAUGACGGUACCUGCAGAAGAAGCGACGGCUAAAUACGUG